UCGAGAAUCUUCCGCAAUGGACGCAAGUCUGACGGAGCGACGCCGCGUGCGGGAUGAAGGUCUUUGGAUUGUAAACCGCUGUCACGCGUUAUGAAUGCGCGGCAGUCAAUACCUGCUGCGUUGACAAAGGCGCGAGAGGAAGCCACGGCUAACUCUGUGCCAGCAGCCGCGGUAAGACAGAGGUGGCAAGCGUUGCUCGGUAUCACUGGGCUUAAAGGGCGCGUAGGCGGCGUGGUGCGGUUCGGGUGAAAUCCCUCGGCUCAACCGAGGAAUUGCCCGGGCAACGGCCGCGCUGGACGGCAUCAGGGGACAGUGGAACUCCCGGUGGAGCGGUGAAAUGCGUAGAUAUCGGGAGGAACGCCGGUGGCGAAAGCGACUGUCUGGGGUGCCUGUGACGCUGAGGCGCGAAAGCCAGGGGAUCAAACGGGAUUAGAUACCCCCGUAGUCC
rnacentral:rRNA from 1 species